CUCGUCCCUUCCUAUUUCCCACUUUUCCCGAACUUUCGGUAUUCUUUUUCUUUUGCGCCCAGUCGUCAUUCUCUCUCGCAGUGGCAACAACACCAGCAUAGGUAGCGUCCAGGUAACCCUCCUCUCCUCUCCUCUUCUUUCCUCUCGCUCUUGCUCUCGCUCUCGCUGUUAAUACAUCAAAAGCCACAUAGAAGAGAGACAGAGAGUGAGAGACUGACUGACGGCGGCCGGAAGUUCCACCUCUGCCCAGUGCCACCUCUGCACAAGAGGGCAUUAAAUCGGUAUUGGGACAUCAAUCAGCGCCAGUGACACCUCCUUCUCUUUCUCUUGCCCAUCCAUGGCCUCAUUGCCACCGCUGCCUCGCCCAUGUUCUCCCCACAGGUACAUCUCUGUUCGAGGAGCCCUAUCCAUGGCUGAUUUGCAUCUGAUUAUAACUUGUUUUUGAGAUGGGUUUGUCUAUAAAUCCAGUGAUGAUUUGGGGUUUCUUGGCUCUUCAAACUAGCGAUUGUUUAAGGGUUUUUGAUUUGAAGUGAGGGAGAGUUUGCAAGCUUUCAAGAAAGAGUUCAAUAAGACAGAAGACGAUUUGAAGUCAUUUCAGAGCGUUGGGCAGAUAAUCGGAGAAGUUAUUAGGCCUCUCGACAAUGAGCGAUUGAUUGUUAAAGCAAGCAGUGGACCCAGGUAUGUAGUUGGCUGUUGCAGUAAAGUAGACAAGGAAAAACUUACUUCUGGAACAAGAGUGGUACUUUAUAUGACGACACUCACAAUCAUGCGUGCUCUUCCACAUGAAGUCGACCCGGUUGUUUAUAAUAUGCUUCAUGAAGAUCCUAGUAAUGUCAGCUAUUCCGUUGUGGGUGGUUUAUCUGAUCAAAUCCGAGACCUCAAGGAAUCCAUUGAGUUACCUCUUAUGAAUCAUGAGCUCUUCAUUAGAGUUGGAAUCAAACCUCCCAAGGUGAUGCAUUCUUCAUUUUCUCCCCUUUUUUAAAUUAUUAUGCGUUGCAUUGUAUUACUUUAAGCCCUUGCAUUACAGGGGAGUGAUAUCUAAUUCUUGUGAAGAUGUAGGUGAAUUUUGGUAGGGACAUGUCUAAAACUUUAAUUGUUUCAAGGAGUUCUUCUUUAUGGGCCUCCGGGUACUGGCAAGACAUUAUUAACUAGAGCAAUUGCCAGUAAUAGAUGCCAAUUUUUUGAAAAGAGUUUCAAACAUAGUAGAUGCUACACAGAAAGCAUUGCUUAGGGCGUUGAAGCUUUUUUUCCUUGGUGUUCUUCUUCAAGGUAAUAUUGUGCACAACUUUCAACUUACGUCCUAUAAUACAUAAAUGUAUCUAAUUGGGCCAUGCAAAACACUUCGGGUAACUAUAUAUAGACUUCCGACAAUCUGUGAUGAAUGGCAAGUUUAUUGUGGAAGACUUUUCCAUUCUGUAUGUUAAGUAAGUCAAUCACUCAAAUUCCACUUUAACUCCAGGAGAAGAAUUCUUGUAGUUAACAUUCCUAUAUCCUUUGUGGCCAUCAGCAACUGUUUUCUAUUUCUAGUGGUCAAUAUUGCAAUUGACAUUAUGUUUUAUUUAGAACAUUCAUUUACCAUGAAUGAUGGAAGUAUAAUUGCUGGAAAUUUCACUUUUGAAACUAAAUAAAGGACAAGAUAUGAGAGUGUGCGGCCAAUUUCCCUUGUUGGUUUAACACAUUUUCUUGAUCCGUGAACUUGCUGUUGCCUUACAGUUUGAACUAUAUUAUGCUGCUAUCAUCUCAUAUCAUUUCUGUUACAUAAAUUUGACCAUACGAUUUCCAGGUAUAGUUGUAGAAUUAAGAACUCGUGUUCUUUCCUUUCAGGUGGUUAUCUGCAUGGAACAUCUUUGACAUAUGGUGUUGACAUUGAAGGAAUACAUUGGAUGGGCAUUUUGCAGAGGAUAUCCAUUGGAUACAUUGUCGCAACUUUGUGUGAGAUAUGGCUUCCAUGUCAAAGGUGGAGGGGAGUAGAC